CUCUCUCUCUCUCUUCCCUUCCUUUACUCUACAUUUCCUUGGCACAGAGUUGCUUUUUGUUACCUUCCUCGUCCUCUUCCUGCUGCCUCCUGUCCCCUGCCGCUGCCGGGAUCUCGUGCGUGCGUGCCGAGCUGGAAUCAGAGAGCACAGGGAAGCGUGGCGUGAAUGACCAAUCUAGUGAACAUUAUUGUAGGCAGUUAAGUGGAUUACAGUCAGUUUUUCUUUGAACAUUUCACACUGACACUAACUAGCUAACCAUUGGGCCCUAUCUGGCGCGUGGGCCGAGCCGGGCAAUGAAUAACGCCCCAUUGAAGCUAAUAGCAGGUAAAUAACACACUUUGCCGAUUCGCUUUAUGCCUGUAAUUAUACAUCACUUUUUUACACACUGCCACCGAUGGUUACAAUUCGAAUAUUUUCAUAAUAACAGUUAUUCGUUCCCUCUCUCUCAUGCAACCCGUGAACAGGUGGAAAGUGUUGUCUGCUGGAAUCACGUGAUGUUCUAAAUAAGGCACACGACUGGGGACUUUUCCCUCGGUGUGAGUGGUGCUGGCUGGCGGAUAAUGCAUUGCUCUUUACUUCAUACAAGGACAGAAAACACAAGCCUUCCUGAUGUACAGUGGCACAAACCCAGAGAUAAAUGCACACGCCCUCCAUCACAAAAUAAUCCCGCAAAAGCUGGUUCUGAAGCCUCCCUAUUGCAGGAUUUAAACGAAAUGUGAAAUGUCGGAUAUAAAGCUAAUAAGCUUUUCACUUUCUCACUUAACACAGGUUCAGUACAUUUGAUUUAACCCAUGAACAAGGGCUUAGUGCAUCACGCAUUGAUGUGUUCACUGGUACGCUCCCAGCACGGCUGCCGAAUCUGUCGGCAGCAAGAUUCGGCAGCAGCAGCAGCACAGGGACUAGCGUGGCGCCACGCACGGCCCACCAAUCACACCCAGCCAGGGUAUUGCCAGUCCCCCGGGACAAGGCUUCAGGGCUCGACCAGCUCACCGCUAUCCUCUUACUACGGCUCAGUCCUACACCUCAUAGUGACGCUGCUCGGACAGGACUUUGCGAUUCAUGUCUGAAUUAUUUUUGCACUGAAAGCGUAUCAUAAUCUACAUUCGAUAGUGUACGCGGUGGAAAUGCUGUGAAGGGAAGGUGUUACGAGUCAUAGAUGGGAUGGCGGCGAGGUCGUGUAGCUGGGACAUCCUGGACAACGGGGAGGCGGGGGCCAGCCAGCUUACAUGACUGCCGCGCCGGAUCACCUGUCAGGCACAGAGGGCCACGGCAUGGCGCCCCCUGUAUCUGUGUCUCGGAAAAUUCGUCAUGGACCUUCAAGAAUGGACAUUCAUAAAUCAUGAGUGGACGAAACAAAAAAGGAAGGCAGUAGACGUAUGGAGGCUUCUCUCUGAUAUCGCUGGAAUUUUCAUACUUCUGGUUGCGUUCCCUGAUCGCGAGGAAGGAAAAUCUACAUUCUCUACCCGCAGUUAUUCUCUCCGUUAACAGCAUUUUCAUGAACGAAUUUUCACGAAGCAGGGAAGUGUCCCGCUCUGCUCAAUGCCCCGGGACGCAGCCACCUGUCCCCCGCCUCAUCACCCGCCCGCCUGGAUAUUUGUUCGCCGUGAAUGUGACGGCUGUGCGUUGCCUUGGAGCUUCCCGUCACGCUGCACCAGACAGUCGUGUGCCAUUACUUGCAUGUCACGGCUUCAAAUUACCUCGAGUUUAAAUUUGUUUGCUUAUUUAUUUAUCUGUUUAUUUAUUUAUUUUUUAUUUAAAGAAUUUGUGGUGUGUACUGUGUUUGUAGGUGAACACACAGAUGUUACGUGAAUCAUGUAAUAUCUGGCCUGGUGUUUCCCCUCACAGCGGGGAAGUGAGGGGCACGUUAACCCUGCGCCAGGAAUAGCGGUCAUCACAGCGUGACGAGCUUGUCAAUAACUCCGCCGCCACCCCGGGGAAAAUGCAACUGCUGACGUCACAGCUGACCCCCUUAAAUCGACAGGGUGGCUUUCGUUGAUGCCAUACGCCACUCUGUGGACGCGCCAGGUGGUGAGAAGGGAGGGGAGGGGUGGCGCGCUGUAUCACCUCUGUGUGUUGUCAGUGGCGGCGGGUAUGACACACCCACCUAAUGGAUGCAACCUUUCUUUCCCUCUCGAAUUUUGAGGCUCCCUUGUUUGAAGAAAAAUAUAAAUGACUGCCCCCAGGAUUAGUGGGACCAUUAGUGCAAUUUAUGUUGUGCUGGAUCUCCAGUAUUUGUGGUGGUGGUGGCAGUGGCGGUGGUGGCGGCGCAGUGAGCUAACACGGCCGCGGCCUCCCUGCUCCCUCCGUCACACUCAGGCGCCCACCCGCCAAAGGGGGAAAACAGCGAUGUUUUAUGUGCAUCUUAUUAUGAACGCAGUAAAGUUAGCCGUUUGGUUACUUUAUUCCAGGAUUUUCUUAAUUUCGCAGACAAAUGGAGAGCAAGAUUAUUUUUCUGGUGUCUUUACAUGCGAACUGUAUGUUAAUUUCAAUGUUGGUAAAAUGUAUGCUUCUAAAAAAUAUAUAUAUAUAUGAAAACUUGCUUUUAUUUAAUUCUCGACUGAGCAUUGAACGGGAGAAAGGAAAAGUGAAAAACACGACGAAAAUUACGGGCAGGAACCGUGGAGCGUGUCGAGGGUGGUGGUGGUGGUGGUGGGGGUGGGGUAAGCGACCACAACACCAGCCAGAGAGGAUUUCCCGACGCUGAGGUGGUGGUGGUGAUGGUCGUGGUCCGCCUCCUUCCCUCGCCAUGCAUUAUUAACAGGUGACGCCUCCUCCGGGGCCAGCUCGGACUCACCUCAGAUGUUUUUCCUCGCCUGUGUGAGUAGUGGCGGGUCAAGGCAAGGCGGCGCGCCUCCCUCACUGAUCUGAUCACUGCGUGCCAAUAUCGGUGGAUGCUAUUAUACGUUUGUUAGUGACACGCAUCUCAACACAGACGCUCAAGAUGGUCAUUAUUUAUAACUUUUUGAUAUAUA